UGAUCCAGGUUGGCAAAAGCCAUAGGACGC
rnacentral:sRNA from 1 species